rnacentral:rRNA from 1 species
AUUGAACGCUGGCGGCAUGCCUUACACAUGCAAGUCGAACGGCAGCACGGGAGCAAUCCUGGUGGCGAGUGGCGAACGGGUGAGUAAUAUAUCGGAACGUGCCCAGUAGUGGGGGAUAACUGCUCGAAAGAGCAGCUAAUACCGCAUACGACCUGAGGGUGAAAGGGGGGGAUCGCAAGACCUCUCGUUAUUGGAGGGGCCGAAAUCAGAUUAGCUCGUUGGUGGGGUAAAGGCCUACCAAGGCAACGAUCUGUAGUUGGGCUGAGAGGACGACCAGCCACACUGGGACUGAGACACGGCCCAGACUCCUACGGGAGGCAGCAGUGGGGAAUUUUGGACAAUGGGCGCAAGCCUGAUCCAGCAAUGCCGCGUGCAGGAAGAAGGCCUUCGGGUUGUAAACUGCUUUUGUCAGGGAAGAAAUCCUCUAGGUUAAUACCCUUGGGGGGAUGACGGUACCUGAAGAAUAAGCACCGGCUAACUACGUGCCAGCAGCCGCAGUAAAAC